GCACGGCAUGGCCCCCCGUCCUGGCACCCGGAGCUGUGCGGGCUUCGCUGGGGGCUUGGUUGCCCGCGGGCGCGGAGCUGCGGGCGAAGCCGGAGCAGGGGCGGACGCGGAAGCCGGAGCCCGCCAGGCACUCGAGCCACGCGCCUGCAGCCGCUGGAGCCGGAAUCCUGCCGGCUCGGGUUGAUUUGUAAACAAUGGGUGACGUCGCGCCGGGCCCUACCACCGCACCGGGGCGGGGGUGACGCGCGAGCAGGCACGGGGGCAAAGGGCGGCGCGGGCGGUGACCGAAGCCGUCCCGCGCCUGUGUUCGUUGUCCCUCCAGGAGGGGGUCCGGGGCGUGGGGACUGAUUUCCGACCUCCCGGGCCCAACGAGCCGUGCUGAAACGUGGCGCCUCGGAGGAGGCUGAGAUUCCUGCAGGUAGACACCAAGGAUCUCCUCAGAGCCAGCGCUGAUCUCAUCCACAGAGGGAUCACAUGACCUCAUCUGGGAAAAUAUAAACCCUACCCACCUGCCUGCCCAUUUGGAAAUGCAGACUGGAGGACGCUAAGUUCAUUCUUACCUAUGUACUAACAAGUACACAAGAAGAUGCUCAAUAUCAUUAGUCCUUGGGGAAAUGCAAAUUAGAUUAUAAUGAGAUUCCAGUGUACACCCACUAGAAGGCUAUUAAAAAGGACAAUACCAACUGUUGGCAACAAUGUGGAGAAAUGGAACCCCUCCUACGUUUCUGAUGAGAAUGUAAAAUGGUGCAGAUACUUUGGAAAACAGUUUGGCAAUUUAUUAAAAGAUUAAAUAAGCAUAAACUUA
rnacentral:lncRNA from 1 species